rnacentral:lncRNA from 1 species
AUGUUUAUUGUGUAUAUAUUAUUGGUAUAUAAUAGUUUGCUUAGUCAAAGUCAUUUGUUGAGAGCAACCAAGUAUCAGGUUCAUCAUUUUGAAAAAGCAAGUUAUGUGGUUAAAGAGGGUAAUAUUGUUGCUGAAACCAUAUUAAUUGGUGGUGUUUAUUACCUAAAGCCAAAGUCUAACUCACAAGCACAGGCAAGUAUACAAUUUCCAAAAAAGGAGAGCACAGGCCCAGAGAGAGAUGUUCUAGAGAGAGAUCCUGUUGCUACUCCAAAGGCUCCUAAAGCCUACAAAAAGAAAAAUAGGCAACAGAUUGCUCAAAGCAAGCCUGAGGUUCCUAAUAAAAAUGAUGAAAAUUCACUAACAGGUAAACCUUUGCAUUCCAGGUGUAUCCAUCAGUGGCAUAGACGAUUGGGACAUGCCAGUUUUCAUGUUCUUAGAAUGAUGCCGGAAUUCGUGAAAGGUUUGGAUCUGAAGGGGUGUAAUGUGUUCUUGGAUUGUACUGUCUGCAAGAAAGCCAAAUCCAAAGCAGCAGCUGUUCCAAAACACAUUACACGCCUGUCAACACGCAUUUUUUAUUUGGUACACAAUGACAUAGUAGGACCAUUUGCACCAACACUUGGUGGUAAAAAAUAUUUCUUAACAAUUGUUGAUAAUUAUUCUAGAUAUGGAUUUGUAUUUCCUAUGAAGGAAAAAUCAGAGACCUUUCAGAUCUUUAAAGACUUUGUAACUUAUGUCAAUACCCAACACAAUGUUUGCAUCACUAGAAUUCAAGGUAAUAGCAGUGCUGAAUUCAUGUCUCAGCGUUUUCAGGACUGGAUGCGUAGGAAUGGAAUUCUGCACCAGACAUCAGCCCCUUUUGUUCCUGUGGAAAAUGGAGUGGCGCAACAGAGGAAUGGCGUUCUACAAACCAUGAUGUGUUGUCUCCUAGAAGACGUUAAUCUCAGUCUCCCAUACUGGGGUGAAGCUAUUACAUAUGCAAAUUACAUUAUUAACUGCAUCUGGAGUAGUGUAAUAAAUCAGACACCUUUCUUCAAGUUAUAUGGAUAUAGACCCGAUGUCAAAAACAUCCAUAUUUUUGGUUCAUAUGCUAUAGUGAACAUUCCAUUAGCUCAAAGAGAGAAAGGAGAUCCAGCAGCAAAAAGAAUGAGAUUCAUGGGUAUUGAUGACAAUUCAAAAUGGAGCAAAUUCAUUGACUCCAGACAUGUAAUUGUGAUUUCUCAGUCCUUCAAUUUUGAGGAAGAUGCUGACUGGUCCAGGAUUCACUCCAAUGAUCCAGGAGUUUAUUUUCCUAGAGAUGAUGCUACUGAUGCCAUGGAGCCUGAUGAUCAAGAUUCACAGGUGGAUGUUCCAUCAACUAGUUCUUCUCAACCAGAUGUUCCGUCUUCGUGA